rnacentral:rRNA from 1 species
AGCGAACGCUGGCGGCAGGCCUAACACAUGCAAGUCGAACGAACUCUUCGGAGUUAGUGGCGGACGGGUGAGUAACACGUGGGAACGUGCCUUUUGGUUCGGAAUAACUCAGGGAAACUUGUGCUAAUACCGAAUGUGCCCUUCGGGGGAAAGAUUUAUCGCCAUUAGAGCGGCCCGCGUCUGAUCAGCUAGUUGGUGAGGUAACGGCUCACCAAGGCGACGAUCAGUAGCUGGUCUGAGAGGAUGACCAGCCACACUGGGACUGAGACACGGCCCAGACUCCUACGGGAGGCAGCAGUGGGGAAUCUUGCGCAAUGGGCGAAAGCCUGACGCAGCCAUGCCGCGUGAAUGGUGAAGGUCUUAGGAUUGUAAAAUUCUUUCACCGGGGACGAUAAUGACGGUACCCGGAGAAGAAGCCCCGGCUAACUUCGUG